AACCUCCGCAAUGUGAGAAAUCGCGACGGGGGGAUCCCAAGUGCCAUUCCUAACGGGAUGGCUUUUCAUUAGUGUAAAAAGCUUUUGGAAUAAGAGUUGGGCAAGACCGGUGCCAGCCGCCGCGGUAACACCGGCAGCUCUAGUGGUAGCAAUUUUUAUUGGGCCUAAAGCGUCCGUAGCCGGUUUAAUAAGUCUCUGGUGAAAUCCUGUAGCUUAACUGUGGGAAUUGCUGGAGAUACUAUUAGACUUGAGACCGGGAGAGGUUAGAGGUACUCCCAGGGUAGAGGUGAAAUUCUGUAAUCCUGGGAGGACCGCCUGUUGCGAAGGCGUCUAACUGGAACGGUUCUGACGGUGAGGGACGAAAGUUAGGGGCGCGAACCGGAUUAGAUACCCGGGUAGUCCUAACUGUAAACGAUGCGGACUUGGUGUUGGGGUGGCUUUGAGCUGCUCCAGUGCCGAAGGGAGCGUGUUAAGUCCGUCGCCUGGGAAGUACGGUCGCAAGACUGAAACUUAAAGGAAUU
rnacentral:rRNA from 1 species